rnacentral:rRNA from 1 species
UACGUAGGGAGCAAGCGUUGUUCGGAUUUACUGGGCGUAAAGGGUGCGUAGGCGGCUUUUUAAGUUUGGUGUGAAAUCUCCCGGCUCAACUGGGAGGGUGCGCCGAAUACUGAGAGGCUAGAGUGUGGGAGAGGAAAGUGGAAUUCCUGGUGUAGCGGUGAAAUGCGUAGAUAUCAGGAGGAACACCGGUGGUGUAAACGGCUUUCUGGACCAAAACUGACGCUGAGGCACGAAAGCGUGGGUAGCAAACAGG